UCACUUUUCACUUCGCAUUGCUUUAUAUGUGUUGUUAAAAUGAGCCGCAAAAUACAAAUUAAAAAAAAACUUGCUGUUUUAAAUGUGAUAAAAGAAAAAAAAAGCAUUUUAUUUGCUAGUUUUAAAAACAACAGAAUAAGUUAACAAAUUAGAUAAACAGGCAGCAUGGGAGGAUGUGUUAUAAAAAGCCCAAUCCCUACAACUGGCGUCAGCACAAAAAACAUGGACCUAUGCAAGGGACAGUUUGUUUGGGCUCUGGAAGAGCCGGACAAUGAGUAAAAGGGAUAACGCCCGAAAUACUGGAUCCGGAGGUGGGAAGGAGAAGGUAAUGGAUGAAGCUGACUUGGCCAUACUCGAUAUUCUGGAAUCAGACUCAGCUGUGGUAGAUGGUUUGAAUUUGCCAGAAAGUUAUGGCAACUCAGAAAAUCUAUCGU